CCUACGGGGGGCAGCAGUGAGGAAUAUUGGUCAAUGGCCGAAAGGCUGAACCAGCCAAGCCGCGUAAAGGACGAAGGUGCCAAGCAUUGUAAACUUCUUUUGUCAAGGGACAAAAUCAGGCUCGAGAGCCUGACCGAGGGUACUUGAAGAAAAAGCAUCGGCUAACUCCGUGCCAGAAGCCGCGGUAAAACGGGGGAUUCGAGCGUUACCCGGAUUUAUUGGGGUAAAAGGGUGCGGAGGCGGACUUUUAAGGCAGCGGUAAAAGCCCGGGGCCAAACCCCGGCGAGCCGUUGAAACUGGCUGUCUUGAGAUGUCGAGAGGUAUGCGGAAUGCGCAGUGUAGCGGUGAAAUGCUUAGAUAUUGCGCAGAACUCCGAUUGCGAAGGCAGCAUACCGGCGGCGAUCUGACGCUGAGGCACGAAAGCGUGGGUAUCGAACAGGAUUAGAUACCCCAGUAGUC
rnacentral:rRNA from 1 species